rnacentral:rRNA from 1 species
AAUCAACGCUGGAGGCGCGCUUAACACAUGCAAGUCGAGCGAGAAAGGGUAGCAAUACCUGAGUAAAGCGGCGUACGGGUGAGUAACACGUGGGUCAUGUACCCUUUGGUGGGGAAUAACGUUGGGAAACCGACGCUAAUACCGCAUAAUCCCGAGAGGGAAAAGCCGCAAGGCGCCGAAGGAACAGCCCGCGGCCGAUUAGCUAGUUGGUGAGGUAAUGGCUCACCAAGGCUUCGAUCGGAGCCGGCCUGAGAGGGCACACGGCCACACUGGCACUGAAACACGGGCCAGACUCCUACGGGAGGCAGCAGUGGGGAAUCUUGCACAAUGGACGAAAGUCUGAUGCAGCGACGCCUCGUGAGUGACGAAGGUCUUCGGAUCGUAAAGCUCUUUCGACUGGGAAGAUAAUGACGGUACCAGGAGAAGAAGCUGCGCUAACUACGUGCCAGCAGCAGCCGCU